rnacentral:misc_RNA from 1 species
AUUUCUCAUUUAGGACCCAUUUCUCAUUUUCAAAGGACCCGAAGAAUUUUGGAAGCUGAAUGGACGGAAGAGUAACUCCUGAUGUUCCUGAAGAACGAGCAUUAUUCGAGCUAUGAGAAGCUGAAGUACUUGGGUGCCUUGUACCGAGAAAGAGUGGAAUGAAAUUGAAAAUAAUUUUAGUAAAAAAUGGAACUUUCCAACUUGUUGCGGAGCAAUUUUCGGUAAACAUUGUGUAAUUCGUAAGCCAGCACAUACAGGGUCAGAUUACUACAACUAUAAACAUACGUUUAGUAUCAUUUUAUUUGCAUUAGUUGAUGCAAACUAUUGAUUUAUAUAUAUAUUGAUGUAGGCACUAAUGGUAGAGUAAAUGAUGCCACCGUAUUUUCGAAAUCAUCUUUAUAUGAAGCUAUAGAGUAGAAUUUACUCAAUAUUCCGCCUAACAGCGUUUUUGUGGGUGAUGAUGCUUUUCCAUUGCGGACAAAUCUACUGAAACCAUAUCCUAGAAGUGCUCCCCUUUCUUUGCAACAACGUAUUUUUAAUUAUAGGCUUUCACGAGCACGUCGAAUUUCAGAAAAUGCUUUUGGUAUUUUGGUAGAAAGAUUUCGGAUAUUCGAAAAACCAAUUCCAGUGAAAGUAGAAACAACAGAAUGGAUUAUUAAAGCAACAUGUGCUCUACACAACUGGCUCCGUAAGACCACCAGUCGUACAUAUUUCCCCACAGGAUGUGUAGAUAUCGAAGAUAUUGAAAAUGGUACUGUGAUACCAGGUGACUGGCGUGCACAUAAAUUUGACGGAAUAGUAUCAUUAAGAAAUGUAGGCAGUAACAACCACAGCAAAAAUGCAGCCAGAAAAAGAGAUUUGUAUGCUGAAAAAUUCGUCACAACAGAGGCAGUUCCAUGGCUAUGGAAAAUGAUUUAAUUAUUAAUUUGUAUUAUUUGUACUUGUUUGUAUUGAAUUAAACUUCUUAAUAAAUAAUUUACUUACCAAGUUUGA